GCUUGCUUUGGCAGGACAUUUAGUAAAGUAGGAAUGAUACAGAGAUUAGCGUGGCCCCUGCACAAGGAUGACAAGCAAAUUUGUGAAACAUUCUAUAUUUUU